GGAGAGGUGGCAGAGUGGUCUAUCGCGGCGGUCUUGAAAACCGCUUUCCACGUAAGUGGAACGGGGGUUCGAAUCCCUCCCUCUCCGCCA
rnacentral:tRNA from 1 species